rnacentral:rRNA from 1 species
AUUGAACGCUGGCGGCAGGCCUAACACAUGCAAGUCGAGCGGAUGACGGGAGCUUGCUCCUUGAUUCAGCGGCGGACGGGUGAGUAAUGCCUAGGAAUCUGCCUGGUAGUGGGGGACAACGUUUCGAAAGGAACGCUAAUACCGCAUACGUCCUACGGGAGAAAGCAGGGGACCUUCGGGCCUUGCGCUAUCAGAUGAACCUAGGUCGGAUUAGCUAGUUGGCGGGGUAACGGCUCACAAAGGCGACGAUCCGUAACUGGUCUGAGAGGAUGAACAGUCACUCUGGAACUGAGACACGGUCCAGAUUCCUACUGGGGGCAGCAGUGGGGAAUAGUGGACAAUGGGCGAAAGCCUAAUCCAGCCAUGCCGCGUGUGUGAAGAAGGUCUUCGGAUUGUAAAGCACUUUAAGUUGGGAGGAAGGGCAGUAAGUUAAUACCUUGCUGUUUUGACGUUACCGACAGAAUAAGCACCGGCUAACUCUGUGCCAGCCGCCGCCGUAAAAC